AAGCCAUGAUGUGGGCAUUGUCUGAGCAUAUUAUUAUACCUAUCCCAUGCUUCAAAUAAUGAUUCUCCAUAUGCCUGAGCAAAAUUUUGUAGGACUGUGAUC